rnacentral:rRNA from 1 species
GAUGAACGCUAGCGGCAGGCUUAACACAUGCAAGUCGAAGGGCAGCGGGGAGAGUGCUUGCACUCUCCGCCGGCGACUGGCGCACGGGUGAGUAACACGUAUGCAACCUGCCCUCCACAGGGGGACAACCUCCCGAAAGGGAGGCUAAUCCCGCGUAAAUCGGGAGACCGCAUGGUCUCCUGAGGAAAGCUCCGGCGGUGGAGGAUGGGCAUGCGGCGCAUUAGCUAGUCGGUGGGGUAACGGCCCACCGAGGCGACGAUGCGUAGGGGUUCUGAGAGGAAGGUCCCCCACACUGGUACUGAGACACGGACCAGACUCCUACGGGAGGCAGCAGUGAGGAAUAUUGGUCAAUGGCCGAAGGGCUGAACCAGCCAAGCCGCGUGAAGGAAUAAGGCCCUACGGGUCGUAAACUUCUUUAGUCAGGGAACAAAGGGUGCCACGUGUGGCGCUGUGAGUGUACCUGAAGAAUAAGCAUCGGCUAACUCCGUGCCAGCAGCCGCGGUAAUACGGAGGAUGCGAGCGUUAUCCGGAUUUAUUGGGUUUAAAGGGUGCGUAGGCGGUUUGUCAAGUCAGCGGUAAAAAUUCCGGGCUCAACCCGGUCCCGCCGUUGAAACUGGCGAACUCGAGAGGGAGAGAAGUAGGCGGAAUGCGCAGUGUAGCGGUGAAAUGCAUAGAUAUUGCGCAGAACUCCGAUUGCGAAGGCAGCCUACCGGCUCCUAUCUGACGCUGAGGCACGAAAGCGUGGGUAUCGAACAGGAUUAGAUACCCUGGUAGUCCACGCAGUAAACGAUGAAUGCCGGCUGCCCGGGCCGAUUGAGGCCUGGGUGGCGAAGCGAAAGCGAUAAGCAUUCCACCUGGGGAGUACGCCGGCAACGGUGAAACUCAAAGGAAUUGACGGGGGCCCGCACAAGCGGAGGAACAUGUGGUUUAAUUCGAUGAUACGCGAGGAACCUUACCCGGGCUCAAACGGCGGAUGACAGGCGCAGAGACGCGCAUUUCUUCGGACAUCCGCCGAGGUGCUGCAUGGUUGUCGUCAGCUCGUGCCGUGAGGUGUCGGCUUAAGUGCCAUAACGAGCGCAACCCCUGCCGACAGUUGCUAACAGGUUAUGCUGAGGACUCUGUCGGGACUGCCGGCGCAAGCCGUGAGGAAGGCGGGGAUGACGUCAAAUCAGCACGGCCCUUACGUCCGGGGCGACACACGUGUUACAAUGGGUGGCACAGAGGGAAGCCAGGCGGCGACGCCGAGCGGAACCCGAAAUCCACUCUCAGUUCGGAUCGGAGUCUGCAACCCGACUCCGUGAAGCUGGAUUCGCUAGUAAUCGCGCAUCAGCCAUGGCGCGGUGAAUACGUUCCCGGGCCUUGUACACACCGCCCGUCAAGCCAUGGGAGCCGAGGGCGCUUGAAGUGCGUCGCCGCGAGGCGCGCCCUAGAGCGAAAUCGGUGACUGGGGCUAAGUCGUAACAAGGUAGCCGUACCGGAAGGUGCGGCUGGAACACCUCCUUUCUGGAGCAGAUAUCCCGUAGCUGCGGGAGUCCUGAUGGCAAGUCAACGGGGGAUUAGCUCAGCUGGCUAGAGCACCUGCUUUGCAAGCAGGGGGUCAACGGUUCGAAUCCGUUAUUCUCCACUCAAAAGAGAACAUUGACAAGACUGGAAGCGAGUGAAUAUAACAAUUCACAGCGAGAACGAGUAGAAACACAAACGAGUUUCACAAACGAGCAAACCAAAGGCGAACUAAGUCGAACUUAGAGUUCGGUUAAAGAAUUAACGGAACGAGAAGGGCGCAUGGGGGAUGCCUAGGCUCUCGGAGGCGAAGAAGGACGUGACAAGCUGCGAAAAGCUGCGGCGAGGGGCAAAUACCCAUUGACCCGCAGAUGUCCGAAUGGGGCAACCCGGCGGGAGCGAUCCCGUCACCGCGGAUAAUCCGCGGAGCGAACGCGGGGAACUGAAACAUCUUAGUACCCGCAGGAAGAGAAAGUAACAACGAUUCCCCCAGUAGCGGCGAGCGAACGGGGAAGAGCCCAAACCGGCGGUGUCGCAAGGCAUGUGCCGGGGUUAUAGGACCGACAAUGAAGCGAGGAGGUUAUCGAGUGGAAGCGGAUGGAACGCCGCGCCAUAGAGGGUGAGAGCCCCGUACACGAAGAGAAGGCCUAGCGAGUCGGCACCUGAGUAUGCCGGAACACGAGAAAUUCCGGUUGAAUUAUCGGGGACCAUCCCGAAAGGCUAAAUACUACCGAGAGACCGAUAGCGAACG